GACGAACGCUGGUGGCGUGCCUAAUACAUGCAAGUCGAGCGGACCAAUAGAAGCUUGCUUCUGUUGGUUAGCGGCGGACGGGUGAGUAACACGUGGGCAACCUGCCUGUAAGACUGGGAUAACUUCGGGAAACCGGAGCUAAUACCGGAUAAUUCAUCCCCUCGCAUGAGGGGAUGCUGAAAGUCGGUUUACGCUGACACUUACAGAUGGGCCCGCGGCGCAUUAGCUAGUUGGUGAGGUAAUGGCUCACCAAGGCGACGAUGCGUAGCCGACCUGAGGGGGUGAUCGGCCACACUGGGACUGAGACACGGCCCAGACUCCUACGGGAGGCAGCAGUAGGGAAUCUUCCACAAUGGACGAAAGUCUGAUGGAGCAACGCCGCGUGAGCGAUGAAGGCCUUCGGGUCGUAAAGCUCUGUUGCUAGGGAAGAACAAGUAUCGGAGUAACUGCCGGUACCUUGACGGUACCUAACCAGAAAGCCACGGCUAACUACGUGCCAGCCGCCGCCGUAA
rnacentral:rRNA from 1 species